UACGUAGGCAGCAAGCGUUGUUCGGAAUUACUGGGCGUAAAGGGUGCGUAGGCGGUCGGGUAAGUCUGGCGUGAAAUCUCCAAGCCUAACUUGGAAACUGCGUUGGAUACUAUCCGGCUCGAGGAAUGGAGGGGAGACUGGAAUACUUGGUGUAGCAGUGAAAUGCGUAGAUAUCAAGUGGAACACCAGUGGCGAAGGCGAGUCUCUGGACAUUUCCUGACGCUGAGGCACGAAAGCCAGGGGAGCAAACGGG
rnacentral:rRNA from 1 species